rnacentral:rRNA from 1 species
UACGGAGGGUGCGAGCGUUGUCCGGAAUCACUGGGCGUAAAGGGCGCGUAGGCGGCCUGAUAAGUAGGGGGUGAAAUCUUGCGGCUUAACCGCAAGGCUGCCUUCUAAACUGUCAGGCUAGAGCACAGUAGAGGCAGGUGGAAUUCCCGGUGUAGCGGUGGAAUGCGUAGAGAUCGGGAAGAACAUCAGUGGCGAAGGCGGCCUGCUGGGCUGUUGCUGACGCUGAGGCGCGAAAGCGUGGGGAGCAAACAGG